AACGAACGCUGGCGGCGUGCCUAACACAUGCAAGUCGUGCGAGAAAGUUCCUUCGGGAGCGAGUAAAGCGGCGCACGGGUGAGUAACACGUAGGUAACCUGCCCCCCAGUCUGGAACAACUAGAGGAAACUCUAGCUAAUGCCGGAUGAGACCACGAUCCCUUCGGGGGUUGCGGCCAAAGAUGGCCUCUACUUGUAAGCUAUCGCUGAGGGAUGGGCCUGCGGGCCAUUAGCUUGUUGGUGAGGUAACGGCUCACCAAGGCUGUGAUGGCUAGCUGGUCUGAGAGGAUGACCAGCCACACUGGGACUGAGACACGGCCCAGACUCCUACGGGAGGCAGCAGUGGGGAAUAUUGGACAAUGGGCGAAAGCCUGAUCCAGCAAUGCCGCGUGAGUGAUGAAGGCCUUAGGGUUGUAAAGCUCUUUUACCCGGGAUGAUAAUGACAGUACCGGGAGAAUAAGCCCCGGCUAACUCCGUGCCCAGCAGCCGCGGUAAU
rnacentral:rRNA from 1 species